AAGGGUUUAGCUUAAUUAAAGUGCCUGUUUUGCGUUCAGGUGAUGUAGGUUUAUAUUCCUACAAUCUUU
rnacentral:tRNA from 1 species